UACGUAGGGUCCGAGCGUUGUCCGGAAUUAUUGGGCGUAAAGGGCUCGUAGGCGGUUCGUCACGUCGGGAGUGAAAACUCGGAGCUCAACUCCGAGCCUGCUUCCGAUACGGGCAGACUAGAGGUAGGCAGGGGAGAGCGGAACUCCUGGUGUAGCGGUGGAAUGCGCAGAUAUCAGGAAGAACACCGGUGGCGAAGGCGGCUCUCUGGGCCGAUACUGACGCUGAGGAGCGAAAGCGUGGGGAGCGAACAGG
rnacentral:rRNA from 1 species